rnacentral:sRNA from 1 species
UUUAUUAUGCUAUAAUUUAGAUGUAGGAAGUGCAAUAGAUGGUUGGCUAAAUCUCAGUAAAAAGGGGUGUAUGCCUAUGUUAAAUGAUAGUUUUACUCCUAGAAAGGAUUAAACAUGUCUGUUUUUGAAGCCUUGAUGUUCGCGUUAGCGUUCACAACGUUAGCUUUAAAAAUUUACGAUCAUAA